rnacentral:pre_miRNA from 1 species
CACUGCAAAUAUAAAAAAUUUGGUUUUGGUCCUUGGUAUUUUGUUUUAGUCCUUGUAAAAUUGAUUCAUAUUGGAUUUGGUCAUUGUAAUAUGUAGAAUAUUUGAUUUUAGUCCCUCAAAAUGAGGACUAAAAUGAAUAUUAUAGGGACCAAUUUCAAUAUGAAAUGAUUUUACAAGGAUUAAAACAAAAUACCAAGGAUCAAAACCAAAUAUUCUAUAUUUGCAGGGA